rnacentral:rRNA from 1 species
UGGGGAAUAUUGGACAAUGGGCGAAAGCCUGAUCCAGCCAUGCCGCGUGUGUGAAGAAGGUCUUCGGAUUGUAAGGCACUUUAAGUUGGGAGGAAGGGUUGUAGAUUAAUACUCUGCAAUUUUGACGUUACCGACAGAAUAAGCACCGGCUAACUCUGUGCCAG